AUACGGAGGGUGCAAGCGUUACUCGGAAUCACUGGGCGUAAAGCGCGCGCAGGCGGCUAUUUAAGUUGGAUGUGAAAGCCUACGGCUCAACCGUAGAACUGCAUCCAAAACUAUUAGACUAGAGUGUGGGAGAGGAAGAUGGAAUUAGUUGUGUAGGGAUAAAAUCCGUAGAGAUAACUAGGAAUACCAAAAGCGAAGGCAAUCUUCUGGAACACUACUGACGCUGAGGCGCGAAAGCGUGGGGAGCAAACAGGACUAGAUACCCAAGUAGUCC
rnacentral:rRNA from 1 species